AAUUGGAGGGCAAGUCUGGUGCCAGCAGCCGCGGUAAUUCCAGCUCCAAUAGCGUAUAUUAAAGUUGUUGCAGUUAAAAAGCUCGUAGUUGAAUUUCGGGGUCAGUAGAUUGGUCGUGCCACUGGUAUGUACUGGUCUUACUGGCUCCUCCUUCCUGAUGAACCGUAAUGCCAUUAAUUUGGUGUUGCGGGGAAACUGGACUGUUACUUUGAAAAAAUUAGAGUGUUUAAAGCAGGCUAACGCUUGAAUACAUUAGCAUGGAAUAAUGAAAUAGGACGUUCGAUCCUAUUUUGUUGGUUUCUAGGAUUGACGUAAUGAUUAAUAGGGAUAGUUGGGGGCAUUAGUAUUCAAUUGUCAGAGGUGAAAUUCUUGGAUUUAUUGAAGACUAACUACUGCGAAAGCAUUUGCCAAGGAUGUUUUCAUUAAUCAAGAACGAAAGUUAGGGGAUCGAAGACGAUCAGAUACCGUCGUAGUCUUAACCAUAAACUAUGCCGACUAGGGAUCGGAUGAUGUUAAUUUUUUAAUGACUCAUUCGGCGCCUUACGGGAAACCAAAGUGU
rnacentral:rRNA from 1 species